rnacentral:tRNA from 1 species
GUCUGAGGUGUAGCUGAGUGAUAGAAUAUUUGUCUAGCACAUGAGAGACCCUGGGUUCAACCCCCAGCACUAGACA